CUUCGGUUAAGAAUUUGCUCAGGGUCACCAGCUAGAAGGUGCCAGCACCAUGGCUUGAGUCCUGGCGAUCUGGGUGGCAGGUGCCAUGCAGGCUCAAGCUGGCCUUACCCACUGCCUCCCUCCCUCCAUUCUGAUGCAAUGGGUGACACAAUCAAGUUGUAAUGGUGCUAAGAUGCUUUGUGGUUAAAAGCAACAUAGAAACAUAUAAGGCUAUGUUUUUAGUUUAAAGCAACUUUAAAUGUUUUAAGAGAAUAAUGAAUAGAAUAGUUACUGUUUUUCUUAACAAUUUCCAAGAUAUGAAUUAUGAGACCCAGACUUUUUAGGAGUAUUUUAAGACUCCAAAGAUAAGAAUCCUUAAGAACUCACCGUGGAAUGAGAAACACUGCCAGUCAAUGCAACAAGAUAGUGACAACACAGCGUGGGAGUCCAGGAGCAGAAAUUUGAUUUGUUUAAACUUUGGAAAUGGAAAUCAGGGCACCAUGCAGGAUCAGAGAAUAGUAUAUUUUGUGGUGUUUCAUGUGCUUGGAAGGGACAAACAAGAACUGCCAGAAUGGACACGGGCCUUUCUUCUUCAGUGCUGCCACUGUUCCAGAAUCAGCUCAAAGUGGAGUGACUGUUGGCCUCUUUUGGUUCAUAAUCAUGACUGGUUAUUCUUCAAAAUUAUCCAAACCUCAACCUGGUGACAUUCUUUCUUUUUCCUGUGAGGAUGUCUAUGAGCUAAGAGCUUUGAUCCAAAGGAGAAAAGCAGAAGACUUAAGAUACCAUUGCAACAGCAGCUUUGGGUGAAAUUGAUUCACGUUGGUCACCUAGUCAACAGAGUACUGAGUGUGAGCAAUGCUUCACGGUCUGUUGAUUGCCCUGAUUAGAGAGAUUCAGAGUUAGAGUUCUUGGAGUCUUUGUGUACCUCCUUCUAACUCCCCUCUAGAGGAAAGGGACCCAGCCUGUGGCCCAGGUACAUAGUCAAGUCCUUACAGAGAGGAUUUAGGUGCUGUUUACUGAACAGGUACCUCGCCAUCUAAUCAGACUUUUGUUCCCAGGGGUUCAUUUAGGAAGAUACAGCAUGACUUUUAGGGCGUAGUCAAAGCCCUGUCAGAAUAAGCCAAAUGCCUCUUGUUUUCUCUCCCCAUCUCUUUUUGUUUUAAAAAUAGAUGCAAUUGCAUCUUUGGAGUCCCUGACCAAGAAGGCAAUGGGGCUGGAUUCUAUUCCUGUCCCUGUUGUCUUGCUGCCUGGUAAUUCACUUGACCUUUCUUCCCUUCCUUUCCCCUAAGGAAGACGCCUGCUGUGGAUAGACCCCAUGGGGGUGUUGGGAGGGUUUCAGGAGUGAAUACAACUGUCUCAGACUGUAAUAUGAUGCUGCCAGCUACUUUGAGGCUCUGGGAUGAAAGAUGCUGUGUGAAAGAGCAUUGUUAUUACAUUUUGUUAAAAAUAUGGAUCAAAGGCUGGCUAUACAGUAAAUACGAAAUGUUAAUUAUUGUUAUAAUAUCAUAACAAAGCAGAUGCCAGAAUGCUAGAUCCCAUGAGAAAACCUAUUAUAAUAAGCCAGUGUGAAAUGUACAUAUUACAAAGAUAUUUGGCAAGGAGGCAGAUUUGGUUUUGAAAUCUCAAUGAACAAUUAAGUAGAAUAAAAAAUAACUUUUAAUGCUGUGAAAAAUAUAAGUGUCUUGACAACUCUUUAACAUAAAAAUAAAGAGCUGCCUUUUCCCCAUACAAAAGAGGCAGCAUCAUUGCUUUCUUUUCCUCCUGAGCAGAAGAUACUUUUCCUUGGACAUAGAAGAAAAAAGCAAUAUUUGUCCUUACAAUGAACACCCUUCGAUAGCUUUCUUUAUGAUAGAGGUGGAUUUGGGAGAAAAUUCUCUAAGUUUAUAAUAGCACAUCUGAUUUUUAAAACAUCUUAAAUGGGUUUGGCUUCUACUGCUUGUUUCUCUUUCCUUCUCCAAAUGCAUGUUCUGUUUGAGAAUGCAUUAGAGAAUGGACUUCUCUAUGCAUUCCUAAAUGCCACCGGCUUCUUCAGGCUCAAGCUUUUCACCUAUUUUCAGAUCUUAAAUGCAUAGUCCAUCAUGUGAUAUCAGCUGGAGAAAGAAAGAGAAAGAGGGAGAGAAGGCAAAGGAAGAUGGAUUUAGGAAGAGAGUCCUAACCUAAAAAAAACCAAGUUCAAGAGGACAUAAUUUUUAUGUCCUAGUGCUUUCUAAGAAUGGAUCGUGCAUGAAUUCACCUGGCAUGCUAAUUUUUUUCCCCCAGAAUAUUGUGAGAAAUGAAUAACCGACUCUCAGGGGAAAGAAAAAGGCUGUAUUUGCAUUGGGUGACUUAUUACCUUAGGAAGAAGGGGAGCGUGGAGGGGAACUGCACAUCUCAGAGCAAAUUUGCAGUAGAUUGUGCACCCUCUGCUGAUAGGAUUAUGGCCAGAUUAUAUUAUAAUUACCUUGGCUGUGACUCCGUGUUUAUCUGCCCUGACAUGGACCCCGCCGCCUAAUUCAUUCCACACUCACUUCAGUUUUUCCCUUUGAACUAAUUUCCCAGUUACUCUAACUUUUCAGAAUGCAUGGGUUACGGGACAUCACCAAACUCCGUAUUUGUCGUUCAGUUGUGUGAAGGGCAGAAGGUAAUAAAUCAAACAUAAUAACAAAUAACUUGUUUGGGAUUAGAGUUGGAGUGUGAAAAAAGUCUAGGCUUUUGCAUUGAAACAAAGUAUUUGCGAUGACUCAACAGAGGCCAGGGGAAACCACUGCCCUUGUGCCUGUGAACUUCAGUGAGACACACCUGCAAAAGUGCCUGGUCUUUGGAGGGAGCAGCCACGCCAGUGAAUGUGGACUUGGGCUGGGGCUAGUCUGGGCCCUACCAGGACUGGAGGAGCGGGAACGAGGAUCUUACCUUUCUCAGGACUUGCUCAUCAUUUCCGCAGCCCCUGUAAUAUCAGGGAGUUUCACAAGUGCUUUGGAGCCAUUUUUUAAGCUUACGUCGGGAGCUGGAUAACAGCCUCAUCACUGCCCUCGGGAUUUCUUGGGAAAAUGAGCAGGGCAGGUGAGAUGCAGGCAUAUGAAGAGAAGCUGGAGGGAAGCUGGGGGUCCCAUAAGGUUCCAGCCUCCUACCACCUGAUAAGAAACCCAAACAGAGGCCCCGAAGAAUAAUUCCCAGGACAAGUGGCUGAGUAGCAGACAGUGAAGGCCCUUGAAAAAGCCUCUGCAUCUCCAUGCUGGAAAGCUCUCUCUUGGCCUGCUCUUCUGUAACUGGUGUAAACAUUAGGGCCAUUCCUGGUGCUGAUUUUAAGUUUGGAUUCCUACAGUGUUAACGUUCAUUUUACA
ensembl:lincRNA